rnacentral:misc_RNA from 1 species
GUACGUCUCGCAUUUGAUUGGAGGAUACCUCGGUGGGUUGACUUUUGAUUGGCAGGUUGGCAAGCAUUCAACAAGACAGUCGUGACUUGGCUCCAUAAAAUAUGCAAUAGAAAAUCUUUCUUGACCAUUUGCAAGGACCCGAUGCAGUGUUGAUCUGAAAACACCAUUGCUCCAGCGCUCAAGCAUAUCACCAAGAUUCACUACAAAAGCACCUUUCAAUGGUGGCACAUACUCCCAAAUCUGAGGCUUUGCAUCCUUAUCCUUGCAUAUCUGAAGGCCAGAGACAUCAUCUGUGGCCAAAAGAGUUAUCAGACCAUAGUCAGAAUGUGCACCAGCUCCAAAAAUUCCAUUUGAUGGA